rnacentral:lncRNA from 1 species
AGAAAUACAAGCAGCUAAAAUUUCUACUAUUCCAUUUGAUAUCUUCAGAGAUUUUUGAAUUUUUUUCUAAUUCCAAAGCAAUUUUUUGUUAGUUGAGAUAACAAUGGUUUGAGAUCGAGUCUAGUUUAAAGUUUGUUGGAUUUUAUUUACUUGAUUGAAACUGGUUUCUAGAUAAUAGCACAAUAUUUUUUGGGUUUAAAUUGGUGCUGAUACCUUCUUACUGGAUUCUACUGCCCCUAUUGUCUAUGGCUCCUCACCUCUUCUUCUUUUUCUGUAUAUUCCAGGUAUUUUUCAGCCUUAUGGACAUCCCUUGAU